GAGUUUGAUCCNGGCUCAGAGUGAACGCUGGCGGCGUGCUUAACACAUGCAAGUCGAACGAGAACGGUCCUAGCUUGCUAGGAUGUCAGCUAAGUGGCGGACGGGUGAGUAAUGUAUAGUUAAUCUGCCCUUUAGAGAGGAAUAACUACUGGAAACGGUAGCUAAUACCUCAUACUCCUUCUUUAUUAAUUAAAGUUGGGAAAUGUUUUUUCGCUAAAGGAUGAGACUAUAUGGUAUCAGGUAGUUGGUGGGGUAAGAGCCUACCAAGCCAAUGACGCCUAGCUGGUCUGAGAGGAUGAUCAGCCACACUGGAACUGAGACACGGUCCAGACUCCUACGGGAGGCAGCAGUGGGGAAUAUUGCACAAUGGAGGAAACUCUGAUGCAGCAACGCCGCGUGGAGGAUGAC
rnacentral:rRNA from 1 species